rnacentral:rRNA from 1 species
UACGUAGGGUGCAAGCGUUGUCCGGAAUUAUUGGGCGUAAAGAGCUCGUAGGCGGUCUGUCGCGUCGGCUGUGAAAACCCGGGGCUCAACCCCGGGCCUGCAGUCGAUACGGGCAGACUAGAGUGCGGUAGGGGAGACUGGAAUUCCUGGUGUAGCGGUGAAAUGCGCAGAUAUCAGGAGGAACACCGGUGGCGAAGGCGGGUCUCUGGGCCGUUACUGACGCUGAGGAGCGAAAGCGCGGGGAGCGAACAGG